rnacentral:rRNA from 1 species
AUCCGGAGGGACUCUUGCCGUAAAACCCCCCAAUUUCCAAAGGUGACCUCGGAUCAGUAG